rnacentral:rRNA from 1 species
UACGUAGGUGACAAGGCGUUGUCCGGAUUUACUGGGCGUAAAGAGCGCGCAGGCGGUCGAUCAAGUCGAGUGUGAAAGCCCCCGGCUCAACUGGGGAGGGUCAUCGAUACUGAUCGACUCGAAGGCAGGAGAGGGUAGUGGAAUUCCCGGUGUGAGUGGUGAAAUGCGUAGAUAUCGGGAGGAACACCAGGUGGCGAAGGCGACUACCUGGCCUGUUCUUGACGCUGAGGCGC